AGAUUAAUAGUUUAAAUUUAAAAUAUUUAAAUUGCAUUUAAAUGAUAUUAAAUUUUUAAUUUAAUUUU
rnacentral:tRNA from 1 species